CCAACGAAACCCCCUCAAAACGCAGGCCUCGUCGGACCUCCGCGGGAACGAGCGACGCGGCGAGGCGAGAAGGGGGGAAAGGGAGCGUCCCCCUCCACGUUUCGGGGGCUUGCCUUAAGUCGGGCACUUUCGACGCUGCCGCAUCCGCCGCAACGGAUUGACUCCAGCGCGUAGUGCAGGGGCCCUCCAACUUCUGUACUCGCAGCGAUGGCAGGAAUAGACUCCCGCGAGGGGCAAAGCUUAUUAAUCAACUACCUCAUCCUGAUCGUGCUCCUGCUUAUCUUAUGGGUCCUCUACGUCGGAGACAGUUCUGAAGCCUAACCGGAAGUUGCACUAUGUAGUGCUGGUUGACUGUGCAUCGGUUGGGAUAUUCAAAAUGCAGUCAUCUGUUCGGAAUCAUAUGUAAACAGGACACACGGACUCUCAAGCAGCAUGCAAGAAUCUGUAGUUAAUGACAUCACAAAAAAUGCUUUCAUAGCGUGCCACGUGAGCUCGAAUUUACUGGCCAUCCUCUGCAGAACCUGAGGGCUGCCAAGAACUGCAGUUCUGACAAGAAAAGAUGAAGGGGGCACCUCUGCCAAGGAAGCAUCGAAAGUCGCAUGCUUGCCAAUUCCACUUCGAUGGGGCCAGACAUGUUGGCCUUGCAUAGUACCAAGAACACUGUCAGCAGCGCAUAAAUUUACAAGAAAAAACUAAUUGGCACAAGCGCAGAUAAGCCCACAGAGGAGCAGCCACAGGGGAAGCAAGCAGCCUGUUGUUCAUGUAUAUAUAAAAUGUGUGCCUUACACCCUACAAGAAUGUUCUGUAGAUAGAGUUCAAAGCAAUUGUCGCUUGUUCAACACAUGCUUCUGCAAGACUCAUUUAGAGGCCUCUUGAGACACCUUUGUGCUUGGACAUCAUCAGUGUAUGUAUCGUGCCACAUCUCUCAUGUCAAUAAAACGUAGAGGCUGUUGCGCCGUCCCGCUAAGGUUAUAGAGAAUCGACGUCAAAUAAACAGAAGAGCUGAAAUAAAAUUUGUUACCAAUGGUUAUCGAUGGUAAAUAAAUGUUGCUUGAAUUGUUUUUCCCCUAAUGAAGCCCAACACUUGAGCUCUGCAAACAACCCAUAAGUCACAGUUGCAAGCAACACAACAGUGAUGAAAUCACUAGCCUGUCGAAGCUCUCAGUUGAAUCUUGUGUUCCAGAAUGUGUUAAGGCCAGUUCUUCCUGGCGUAAAAAUAUGGGCAGCAUGGCUCCUUCACAGCAUCCUCCGAGACUGCUGCAUAGGGCACAAAAGCCUCGUAUCAACAAGUAAUCUUGAGGUUCAUACCCCUGGCCAACAUUUCCCAGAGGAGACAAAAAGCGUUCCCAGACAAUGAAGGCGAAAUUCGGAAUAGAAAAGUGCAUGUCAAAAUGCACAAUUCAUAGUGAUCAAAGAACACAUCAUUCUUUUAGUUUGUUUUGCCGUAUUUACUCGAUUAUGACAUGCGGCCGAUUUUCACUGCUCGAAAUUAAAAAUGGAGUGCCCUUUAUUUUGACAUGCAUCUCCCAAAUUACAAAUGUGAUAAUCUUGAUUGUUACUCUUGAUACUCUUGAGACAUAGAGUUAUGACAAUUUGAUUUUACUUGCAAAAACAAAAUGUAUGCAUCCGAGCUGUGGUUGGUCUGGUACCACUAAUCGCCACUGUUGGAGGCCUCCUUGUCACUGUCAGAAGCCCAGAUCCUCUUGUUUUUAGUGCCUGUUAAUGGCAUUCGAAGUACUGCAUCUUGUAGACUAUGGCAGCCUAACUUGGACGGUUUCACGCGUGCGAUAGCAGCAGUGAGAGUGUAGCCCCAAGAAACUUCCAGCCGCGUGCCUUAUUAGUUGACUACACCACAACCAAAAACAUGCUUUUAAUUUGUUUCAAUGUACAGGAAGUCUUAUUUUGUUUUCAGAUAAAAGAAAUACGCAUAAUGCCUCAAGACUAAGAAUUUUUCUGAAGCUUACGGCAAACUUGAUAGGAUAAUUGUGGUUAUGUACAAGAAUAAUGCACUCCUGCUACUCAUCAUUGCCUUUUCUGCUCGCGAUAUUUAGCGGGCUACAUCAGUGGGCGAAACCUGAAGCCAUCCAGGGCCUAUGUUUGUAAACAGCAAAAGUGUCUAUAGCAUCUAAAACCUGCUAGAGCCUAACAAAGUUACAGAGUGGGCAAAAAGCUACUGCAGCUCCUAUAGCUGCAGCUACAUGCAGGCUGGAUUCAUUUGGAUUGCAGUAAUGUUCAAUGACAAUCGUGGUGGGUUGUCACUAUUGUAAUUUUGAUAUUUUGCUUGAAUCUGAAGCAUUUCCAGAAUAAAAGUGUACGUCAAAAUUUAGUAAAUGCGGCAACAAUAAUCCUUUCAAGAUAGUGGCCAGCGCACUAUAAUGAUUGCGGCAAGUUUAGCUGUGCUGGUCCUGUACAAGCUUUACUAGCUCAAGCAAGAUUACUUAAACGCGUGCCAGUAAUGUGCAAAUUCACAGCAUUUCCUUGACAAAAUUGCUUCUCAGUUUUAUUUGUUGCUGCAUUUGGCAGCUUGACCAAUGUAUCAAUACGUAUUCGCAAGAGAAUACAAAGACCAUAAGAGCAAUGCUUAACUUGAGCCCAUCUCUGGAGCGGGUGUUACUGUAUACCACAGAGGAAGGAAACAAACCUUUACAACUGCUUGUUACAACUGCAGUACAAGCCUGGACAUACAAACUUUUGUGCAAUAGUCCAAAAUAAAGCUCACAUGUGCUUAGUAGACAUACUCUUAGUACAUACUCUUAGUAAAAUGACACAAGACUUAAUAAAAACUCACGCACAAAGCAUUUAUUGAUUCACACCAGGGUGCUCGCAAACAAUUGUACGCAUACGCACGCACAAAAGUAACACCUUCAAACGAUUGUUUAAAAUUGUCGCUAUUAGAUGCUUUGCUGGAGCACCAUCGUGUUUUGUUACACCCCCCCCCCCUCCGCUCCCUCCCUCAAACCUGGGACACAGGUGAGCACACACCUUAUAUAUUAUGUACACUUUUAAACCUCCCUAAGGAGGCAGACACCUCCAAUAACCCAGAAGUUGAGACACCAAAGCCGUCUCUCCAGCGCAUUAAAGGGGGUAUGGCUUUGGCUUGUCACUGUGCAGUAUGAAGAAUUGAGAUGGAAUAGACAUGCAAAAGAAUAUAUGAAAAUGAACAAUAACCUUGAAGAGAACCACUCUGACACAUUACAGUUGUGCGACAUGGUAUGUUGGACUCCAUUCCCAUGGCAGCUGGCUUCACCUGGAAAGCACACUGACAGUGUCGUUCAACUAACUGCUCAAUGCGAAAUCAAGCUAAUCAACUUGCAUGUUGAAGAGAACUGAAUAUAGCCGAUGAAAUGCCGAGUGUAAAUAACAUUCACAGAAACAAACAAUCACACCUGACCUGCCACACGGUGCUUGUCACAGACGCUUGUUAACUUCAGCUGACGUCGACUACACAUCUAAAAAUAGGAGCGCUAACGGGAAACUUCAGAAAAAAUAUAUUUAGAUGCGAUAUUUUCUGUAAAGAUACCAAUCCUGUUUGAAGCCAACUUGAUGCUAGCUAUGAAAAAGAUUUAGUGCACUAAGGUUUCCAAAAAAAUUUCUUCAUUGAGGCUGACUCUACUUUCAGAUCAUAUAAGAAAACACUUCAAGCUGUAUACCAGACAUUGCUGGUUAUAGACAACUGUUUCAA